ACUCCUACGGGAGGCAGCAGUGGGAAUAUUGCACAAUGGGCGCAAGCCUGAUGCAGCCAUGCCGCGUGUAUGAAGAAGGCCUUGGGUUGUAAAGUACUUUCAGCAGUGAGGAAGGUGGGUAUGUUAAUAGCAUAUUCAUUUGACGUUAGCUGCAGAAGAAGCACCGGCUAACUCCGUGCCAGCAGCCGCGGUAAUACGGAGGGUGCGAGCGUUAAUCGGAAUUACUGGGCGUAAAGCGCAUGCAGGUGGUUGUUAAGUCAGAUGUGAAAGCCCGGGGCUCAACCUCGGAAUUGCAUUUGAAACUGGCAAACUAGAGUACUGUAGAGGGGGUAGAAUUUCAGGUGUAGCGGUGAAAUGCGUAGAGAUCGUGAAGGAAUACCGGUGGCGAAGGCGGCCCCUGGACAGAUACUGACACUCAGAUGCGAAAGCGUGGGAGCAAACAGGAUUAGAUACCCCUGGUAGGUCAGUC
rnacentral:rRNA from 1 species